UGGGGAAUUUUGCACAAUGGGGGAAACCCUGAUGCAGCGACGCCGCGUGAUUUAGAAGGCCUUCGGGUUGUAAAAAUCUUUUUUAUGGGAUGAAAAUGACAGUACCAUAAGAAUAAGGUCCCGCUAAAUACGUGCCAGCAGCCGCGGUAAUACGUAUGGACCGAGCGUUGUCCGGAAUCAUUGGGCGUAAAGGGUACGUAGGCGGCCCAGUAAGUUAGAAGUGAAAUAAUAUAGCUCAACUAUAUAAAGCUUUUAAAACUGCUAGGCUUGAGAGAUGGAAGGGAAAGUGGAAUUCCUAGUGUAGCGGUGAAAUGCGCAGAUAUUAGGAAGAAUACCGGUGGCGAAGGCGACUUUCUGGUCAUCAUCUGACGCUGAGGUACGAAAGCGUGGGUAGCAAACAGG
rnacentral:rRNA from 1 species